rnacentral:lncRNA from 1 species
AGGCAAAAAAUAUGACUCGGCCUUAUUAUCAAAGGAGUGAGAAAUUAUUAUUAGAAAUUUAAAAGCUUUUCCAACAGAAAUGUGUAGCUUUCCAGUAUGACCUUCAUAAAGGAGUCUUCUAAAAGGUUGUCCUAACAACAGGUCGAAGUCCCAUUGUAACAUCCUAAAAAUUUAUUUCUAGAAAAUGGAGUUAAAUUAAUUUAACUUUGCAUUUUGUGCUCAUGAGAAUAUAAUAAGAAUAAUAUUUUUCUUUAAAAUAAAAUUUAAUAUAAGGCUUAGCAACAAUUGUGUGUAAAUCAUGCUGGUGCAUUUUAUUUUUGAGAUGAGUGUUUUUGACCACAGAUUGAAAAUAUUUCAAACAGAUUUUAAAACGGAUUUAAAAUAGGUUUUGAAAUAAAAGAAGAAGAAAAAAAAAGAAAGGAAAGAAGACCUCACCCCCUCCCGCACUCGGCCCAAGUUGGCCAGCAACCGGCCCAGCACUCCCCCUCUCGCCCUCACCUUGGCCCGAAGUGCGGCCCGUCUCUUCCCCCUCUGUGCGGCCCAACUCCUCGGUCCAGUCGCGCGCAGCUCUUCCCUUGAGCCACUGCUCGCCUGGACCCACGCCUCCGGUCACCGACAGGUGGGCCUCGCAAGUCGGCGUCCUCCUCUAUCUCCUUCCUUGUGCCGUCACCGAGCCGGACACCCCGAUGGCAACCGAUCCCGGAUUCUUCGAGAUUUCCUAGCUCAAGCACAAAUUGAGCCCCUAUAAAGUUCCUAGCCCAGCCCCGCAUGCAUCUUUUCGAUCUAACCGCGUCGGGGAAGCCCCAGACACCAUUGGCAUCGAGAAGCGGAUCUCGCCGAGCUCCAAACCCCAUCGCCGCAGCCGCCAGACCUCUCCGCUCUCUCUCGGACCGAACCAAGCACAUGGACGAGUUCGGGGUACGCUCCUCGCUUGGUAUAUUUAUUUCCAUUUCUAGCACUCGGUUGCACAAGAACGUCUGUCGCCGGCGAGCUCUGUGGUGGUGUCCAUGGCGCCGCCGCGCCGGAGCCCCACCCCAGCCGCCGCCUGGUUCCACCUGCAGCGAUCCAAGCCGUCCACCUCUAAUCCAACGCGCCACGUUAGCCGAUACCCCUUCGACUGACAGUUUUGCUAAAGAGCCCCUGACGUUUUGUCGAUUAGAACCCGCAGUCCUUAGGCGUUUUCCGAGAAUACGUUUCCCAAUUUCAAAAGCGUAUUUUUUGUCGGUUUAAAUCAAAUUACGCUUUCAACAAAUUACAAGUUUGCCACUGAUUUUCUUUUGGCCAUAAAAUAUCCAUUUUAACUCCGUUUUGACUCAUUCAAAUUUCAUUAGGUUCAUAAUCAUGAUCUCUACAUGUUAGAAAAAUGGUUUUCUCAGUUUGAAACUUUUUAACUUCGUGACCUUAAUUAAUUAAUUACUUUUCUAUCCAAAAUCUUAGAAAAUUCAUAACUUCUCCGUUUCAACUCCGAUUUUCGUGAUCUUUACGUCGGUGAAAUCAUAGCGGUGCGUAGAAUCAUUUUAUAAACUUUUCAUACUGUUUUUAUAUGGUUGUUGUAAUGUUCUAAUUGUAGUAUUGUUUGCUUCGUGUAUGUUUGUCUCCGGAUGAUUGUGUGUGGUUGAUCGAUUAUCGAGUUUAGUCGGUGAGUAAUUCGUGGUGAUCAAGAGUGCUUCAGUGAUCAAGAUCAGAGCUUGGACAACUAGUAAGACCAGCAGGAUCAGCAAGAGACAGUAGGAUCAGCAAGAGCAAUUGGAUCAAGGCAAGUAUAGCAUUUGGAUUUUAUUUCUGUGACCAUGAUCCUGUGACUAGAUUAAUGUUAAGAAAUAAAUGAUAAAAAUGACUUUUUAGCCACUUGAUGAUUUAUCUUUAAGUGAUAACCGGGACAACAGUGCAACCAUGAGGGCUAUAAUGGCUCUGGCUUUAGCUCAGUAUGAAGACCUUUUCUAGCUUGUUAGAGGUUACCCGAAAGGUCAGAGGGGCUGAACCGUUUUGGGUAUAGUGCGAGCCCCUGUCCUUAUGUGUAUAGGCUGCGCGUCAUUGUGCCAUUUGGAAUGGGGUUUCUAUAUCUACGCGCAAAGGAAACCUUGUGGCCCUAACAUGUUAGACGAACUUUUGAAAGGCUUCAUAGUGAUCCCUGCCGACCUUCCUUGGUAGUGGGUUAAGAGGCUGAUCACCUCAGGAGAAAGGGUAAAUCAUGACUCAUGGGUAAAGAUGUGCAACCUCUCUGCAGUGUGUUAAAAUCUAGUAUACUAGCCGUGCUCACGGUCAAGAGCGGCCUUGGGGAUUCUUGCAUCGACGGUGAUGAUUCUUGUUGUGUUAAAAUACUCAUUGUUUAUUGUUUAAUACUUUACAUUAUUUAUGUCACAUUGAUCAUGAGAUUGUGGGAUCUAUACAAUCUAGUUGCUAUACUUGUGGAGUUCGACAUGGACUCACUCUUGCUAUUCUCCACACCCCUCAGGAGAAGUUUUGGGCUUGUGAUCAACCAGUCAGUUGGAUCCUGUAGAGUGAAGUUAAUACCCAAAGUUGGACUUGUCUAUCCACUGUUUGCUGCUUAAGGUUAUCUCUGAUUUAUUAUUACAUUAUAUAACUUAUGCAUUGUCUUUUGAUAUUACCCCUUAUUUGUAGCUAUAUGUGAGAUUUGACUUCUAAAACUCAUAUAUGGUGCAUAUCUGGUUUUGUCCUUAAAAUCAGGUAUUACAAAGUGGUAUCAGAGCAAUACUGACUGUAGGACGCAAUCCUAGUUGGAAAUUGGCCGUCUUAAGAUUUUAAAAUUGCUAUAAACUCUUUGUUCUAUAAACCUUGAUAUUUUCGUCUAUACUAUAUCCAUUUCCUUGCCAUUCCCCUCUACGUUGUAGCUUAUUUUAAAAGUCUUUGUUCUCAUCUCCACUCCUUGAUUUGAUAAGCUUUUAGAAUCUUCUCUUACCACCUUCUUACGUAGUUGAAAGAGAAUCUUAGGAUAUUUACCCUUACUACGAAGAAAACGAUAGUAUCACAAGUUGAGUGAAUUGUGAACCUUCAAUGUUAAGUUGGUUUGUUAUUAUGUUUAUUCUUGAUUUGGAUCUUUGUAAUGAUUGCAAUGAUCUUGUAGAUUUCCUCACAAUUUUAUUAGUUCAUAGGCCUAAGGCAUAAGGAUUAGUGAAAUAAGUAGUUGGGUUUGGCUAUCUCUUGUUUCUAUCCCUUGUUGAUUUCUGGAGCAGUCUUCAAUGGUUCUGGUGUAUCUCAAGUUUUGAUCGAGCAAAAUCUAUCAACUUUAUUUGGGAACAACUAGACUUCAAGAUCUUGCACUGACCUCAAAAAUCACCUCAUAGCUGUUAUGGUUUGGAAGUUACAAAAAUCACAAGAUGAUACAACUGUGCUGUCAAGAACCUGGAUCAGUUUUGGUUGCUUACUGUUUGAGACAAAUAUAGCUAUAGAGUUUGGAAACGUGUUCUAUAGAAAGGUUGUAGACACUUUUCUAAGCUUUCCAACAGUAUAAGCUGGAACUCAUUUGGAUAAGUAGAACCUGAGAUAUGACAUUUACACUUGGAUGUUUCUGUUCUGUUUCAUAAUCUGGACAGAUCUGGCAUUUCCUAUUUUCGCCCAAGUUAAAGAUAGAAUCUAGGAAAACGUGGUAUAUGAAAGUUAUAUUGGAUUUCUUAAUCUUUUCAAAAAUGUAAGGAUCAUCUCCAGAUGAGUUAAGUAGCUCGAGAUAUAACUUCUGGAAGUUACUGCACCUUUGCUGAGACAUUGUCAGGAUGGAAUUUAAGUUUGGCUAUUUUACCUAAGCUUAAAGACAGAACAUAAGGAGGUUUUCUACAUGAAAGUUGUAGGGAAAUUCAUAAGCUUUCUGACGGUAUAAGAUACAACUCUAUUGGAUUAACAGAAUAAGAGUUAUAUGUGUUUUACUAUGCUGAUGUUUUCAUAUCACGAGGAAAUUUCAGGAUACCUGUUUGCUCCAUUGCACAUAAGUUCUUUAGAAUGUCAAAAGUUCUCAAUGUUAGUUAACUUGUCUGGAAAACAUGCAAGCUACCUUCUUGUGCCCUAGUUGAUUUUUCAUAUGGGGGGUAGCCUAGUUAAAGGAGUUACAAUGAGAAGGAUUGUCUAGUGUUGGAUCAUAUGUAAGGAUCACAAGUGUUCGGUAAAUUUAGUUUUGUUUGAAGAUAUCAUCCCACUUGGAGAAUAUCAAUGGAGGUAUAUGGCUGAUACUCAUAGAUGGAGAGUUGUGCUUAUGAGGAUCAGAUGACACCGAAGUCUACAAAGUUAUAUAUACAAUAUGGGAGUGAAGCAACUUGUUUGUGAUAAAAGUACCGAUAAUUGGAACUUAGUGAUGAGACCAAUCUUGGAUUAAGAGACUCGGUACAAGCAAAUUUAAAAGACUAUAUGAUGUGUAGCAUCUAAAAAUGAUAUGAGAGCUAGUCCCUAGUGUCCCCCAAUCAAUCUCAUCUUAAGGGGGUAGUACUUGAUAUCACGGGAUGAUGCUUUUUUAAAACUAUCUGGAAGUGAUAAUUGUCUUCUGAGAUAUCUUAUGAUUAUGAUAAGCUAUCCUUGCCCGUGUCACUGAUGUUGGUCACUUGAUGAUUGGAAGUGUGUUUAUCAUGUGGGAGAAGUAACUGUUGUUGCCAAUAGACAUGGCAACGGAGAGCUAUGAUAAUGAAGAUUUGAUUACACCAAGGACUAGAGAAUUAUAUUUAAGUUUUGAACAACACUAGGAAGCAUAUUCACAAAUAAUGCUUUGGAAUCGGUAAUAGAGCUUACUAUCAGGAAUGAGGACACUGAAGGGCAAUGGAAGGAUGAGGAGUUUAGUGUAAAGAAGAAUCCUGCUUACACUACCCCAUCAAAGUUUUAGAAGUAGUUAAGAAAGUUAUUCGGAACAAGGUUGUAACAACAAUGCAAAGCAAUGUGGAAUGUUAAAUAAGAGGAUCAAAUUACUCAAGAAAGUAAAAAAAGGAUUGAAGGAGGAAGUAUUCAAAACUCUUUGAUCAUAGUCUUCCGAAUCUCGAGGACGAGAUUCAUUUUAAGGGGGUUAGAUUUGUAACACCCUAAAAAUUUAUUUCUGGAAAAUGGAGUUAAAUUAAUUUAAUUUUGCAUUUUGUGCUCAUGAGAAUAUAAUAAGAAUAAUAUUUUUAUUUAAAAUAAAAUUUAAUAUAAGGCUUAGCAACAAUUGUGUGUAAAUCAUGCUGGUGCAUUUUAUUUUUGAGAUGAGUGUUUUUGACCAGAGAUUGAAAAUAUUUCAAACAGAUUUUAAAAUGGAUUUAAAAUAGGUUUUGAAAUAAAAGAAGAAGAACAAAAGAAGAAAGGAAAGAAGACCUCACCCCCUCCCGCACUCGGCCCAAGUUGGCCAGC